rnacentral:tRNA from 1 species
GUGGUGGGUGGGCGAGGCGGGGGUCCAGGGGGCGGAGCCCCCUGGUACGGGACCGGCUGCACGUGCCAGGGCUUCCAACGCCCCCAGAUCACA